GGGUGAAAUUUAUAGUUCAGUAGUAAUGUUGGGACUUGCUUAUUUUCUUAGAGGCUAUUAAAAUCUAGGUUUAGACCAGGAUUAGAUACCCUGUUAUACUGGAUUUGAAAUAUAUUGCUUGAUUAGUAUUAGUUAUGGUCUUGAAAUUUAAAGGAUUUGGCGGUAUCCAAGUCUAGUUAGAGGAACCUGCCAUUUAAACGAUAUACCACGAAUUAUCUUACUUUAUCUUGUUAUCAGUAUGUAUACCUCCAUUAUUAGGUGGUGUAUUAAUAUAUCCAUUGAAAUUAAUUUAUGUUAAGUAUAUUAGGUCAAGGUGCAGCCAAUGGUAAAGUCAUAGGUGGGUUACAAUGUAUUAUAUUUAUAGACGAAUAGUUUCUUGAAAAUGAAACUUGAAGGUGGAUUUAAUUGUAUUUUUAUUUUAAUAUGUUAAAUUGAUAUUAGCUCUAGGGUAUGUACACAUCGCCCGUCGCUCUCACUACUUAAAGUGAGAUA
rnacentral:rRNA from 1 species